CAGAAUUGUUGGUAUGUUGGCUGAAAUGCUUAGCUAUAUUUAGCCUGUCACUACAUUCUGAGUUCAAAUUCUGCUGAGGUCGUCUUUGCCUUUCAUCCUUUUGGGGUCGAUAAAUUAAGUACUAGUGAAACACACUGGGGUCAGUUUAAUCGACUAGUCCCAUCC